rnacentral:rRNA from 1 species
AAGCGUUAAAGCUCCGGUAAAUAUAGACCAAUAAUAAAGACAAUACACUCCCCACCCCCUAAAAAUAUUAAGCUAUCCUAUGCGCACAUAGGAGAAACAAUGCUAAAAUCAGUAAUAAGAGGGCCCAGGUCCUCUCCUAGCACAUGUGUAAGUCAGAACGGACCAACCACUGACAAUCAACGGACCCAAACAGAGAGAAAAAGAACGAACUACAAAAAACAAGAAAAAACUAUUUAAUACCACAAACCGUUAACCCAACACAGGAGUGCCCAAAGGAAAGACUAAAAGGAGAAGAAGGAACUCGGCAAACACAAGCCCCGCCUGU